rnacentral:rRNA from 1 species
CACGUAGGGUGCGAGCGUUGUCCGGAUUUAUUGGGCGUAAAGAGCUCGUAGGCGGUUUGUUGCGUCGGCUGUGAAAUCCCGAGGCUCAACCUCGGGUCUGCAGUCGAUACGAGCAAACUAGAGUGUUGCAGGGGAGACUGGAAUUCCUGGUGUAGCGGUGAAAUGCGCAGAUAUCAGGAGGAACACCGGUGGCGAAGGCGGGUCUCUGGGCAACAACUGACGCUGAGGAGCGAAAGCGUGGGGAGCGAACAGG